rnacentral:rRNA from 1 species
AGGACGAAACGCUGGCGGCGUGCUUAACACAUGCAAGUCGAGCGGAAAGGCCCUUCGGGGUACUCGAGCGGCGAACGGGUGAGUAACACGUGAGCAACCUGCCCCUGGCUCUGGGAUAGCCUCCGGAAACGGGGAUUAAUACCGGACAUGACCCUUGACCGCAUGGUUGGGGGUGGAAAGUUUUUCGGCCAGGGUGGGCUCGCGGCCUAUCAGCUUGGUUGGGGGGGUGACGGCCCACCAAGGCGACGACGGGUAG